GCUGGGUGUGGUGGCAUGCACUUGUAGACCCAACUACUGGGAGGCUGGGGCAGGGGCAUCCCUAGAGCUCAGGAGUUCAAGGUCAGACUGGGCAACACAGCCAGACCCCCAU
rnacentral:sRNA from 1 species